GACGAACGCUGGCGGCGCGCCUAAAACAUGCAAGUCGAACGAGAACCUCGGGCUUCGGCCUGGGGGGAGAGCGGCGAACGGGUGAGUAACACGUGAGGAACCUGCCCCGGAGACCGGGAUAACUCGAGGAAACUCGGGCUAAUACCGGAUGCCCUCAUCGGACCGCAUGAUCUGAUGAGGAAAUGGAUUCCGCUCCGGGAUGGCCUCGCGGCCUAUCAGCUUGUUGGUGAGGUAACGGCUCACCAAGGCAACGACGGGUAGCUGGUCUGAGAGGACGAUCAGCCACACUGGGACUGAGACACGGCCCAGACUCCUACGGGAGGCAGCAGUUAGGAAUCUUGCGCAAUGGGGGAAACCCUGACGCAGCGACGCCGCGUGCGGGAUGAAGGCCUUCGGGUUGUAAACCGCUUUCAGCAGGGACGAAAUUGACGGUACCUGCAGAAGAAGGCCCGGCCAACUACGUGCCAGCCGCCGCUGUAACAC
rnacentral:rRNA from 1 species